AGAGUUUGAUCAUGGCUCAGGACGAACGCUGGCGGCGUGCUUAACACAUGCAAGUCGAACGGAAAGGCCCUUCGGGGUACUCGAGUGGCGAACGGGUGAGUAACACGUGGGUGAUCUGCCCUGCACUUUGGGAUAAGCCUGGGAAACUGGGUCUAAUACCGAAUAGGACCACGCGCUUCAUGGUGUGUGGUGGAAAGCUUUUGCGGUGUGGGAUGGGCCCGCGGCCUAUCAGCUUGUUGGCGGGGUAAUGGCCUACCAAGGCGACGACGGGUAGCCGGCCUGAGAGGGUGACCGGCCACACUGGGACUGAGAUACGGCCCAGACUCCUACGGGAGGCAGCAGUGGGGAAUAUUGCACAAUGGGCGCAAGCCUGAUGCAGCGACGCCGCGUGAGGGAUGACGGCCUUCGGGUUGUAAACCUCUUUCAAUAGGGACGAAGCGUGAGUGACGGUACCUAUAGAAGAAGCACCGGCCAACUACGUGCCAGCAGCCGCGGUAAUACGUAGGGUGCGAGCGUUGUCCGGAAUUACUGGGCGUAAAGAGCUCGUAGGUGGUUUGUCGCGUUGUUCGUGAAAACUCACAGCUUAACUGUGGGCGUGCGGGCGAUACGGGCAGACUAGAGUACUGCAGGGGAGACUGGAAUUCCUGGUGUAGCGGUGGAAUGCGCAGAUAUCAGGAGGAACACCGGUGGCGAAGGCGGGUCUCUGGGCAGUAACUGACGCUGAGGAGCGAAAGCGUGGGGAGCGAACAGGAUUAGAUACCCUGGUAGUCC
rnacentral:rRNA from 1 species